GAUGAACGCUGGCGGCGUGCCUAAUACAUGCAAGUCGAGCGAACGGACGAGAAGCUUGCUUCUCUGAUGUUAGCGGCGGACGGGUGAGUAACACGUGGAUAACCUACCUAUAAGACUGGGAUAACUUCGGGAAACCGGAGCUAAUACCGGAUAAUAUUUUGAACCGCAUGGUUCAAAAGUGAAAGACGGUCUUGCUGUCACUUAUAGAUGGAUCCGCGCUGCAUUAGCUAGUUGGUAAGGUAACGGCUUACCAAGGCAACGAUGCAUAGCCGACCUGAGAGGGUGAUCGGCCACACUGGAACUGAGACACGGUCCAGACUCCUACGGGAGGCAGCAGUAGGGAAUCUUCCGCAAUGGGCGAAAGCCUGACGGAGCAACGCCGCGUGAGUGAUGAAGGUCUUCGGAUCGUAAAACUCUGUUAUUAGGGAAGAACAUAUGUGUAAGUAACUGUGCACAUCUUGACGGUACCUAAUCAGAAAGCCACGGCUAACUACGUGCCAGCAGCCGCGGUAAUACGUAGGUGGCAAGCGUUAUCCGGAAUUAUUGGGCGUAAAGCGCGCGUAGGCGGUUUUUUAAGUCUGAUGUGAAAGCCCACGGCUCAACCGUGGAGGGUCAUUGGAAACUGGAAAACUUGAGUGCAGAAGAGGAAAGUGGAAUUCCAUGUGUAGCGGUGAAAUGCGCAGAGAUAUGGAGGAACACCAGUGGCGAAGGCGACUUUCUGGUCUGUAACUGACGCUGAUGUGCGGAAGCGUGGGGAUCAAACAGGAUUAGAUACCCUGGUAGUCCACGCCGUAAACGAUGAGUGCUAAGUGUUAGGGGGUUUCCGCCCCUUAGUGCUGCAGCUAACGCAUUAAGCACUCCGCCUGGGGAGUACGACCGCAAGGUUGAAACUCAAAGGAAUUGACGGGGACCCGCGCAAGCGGUGGAGCAUGUGGUUUAAUUCGAAGCAACGCGAAGAACCUUACCAAAUCUUGACAUCCUUUGACAACUCUAGAGAUAGAGCUUUCCCCUUCGGGGGACAAAGUGACAGGUGGUGCAUGGUUGUCGUCAGCUCGUGUCGUGAGAUGUUGGGUUAACUCCCGCAACGAGCGCAACCCUUAAGCUUAGUUGCCAUCAUUAAGUUGGGCACUCUAAGUUGACUGCCGGUGACAAACCGGAGGAAGGUGGGGAUGACGUCAAAUCAUCAUGCCCCUUAUGAUUUGGGCUACACACGUGCUACAAUGGACAAUACAAAGGGCAGCGAAACCGCGAGGUCAAGCAAAUCCCAUAAAGUUGUUCUCAGUUCGGAUUGUAGUCUGCAACUCGACUACAUGAAGCUGGAAUCGCUAGUAAUCGUAGAUCAGCAUGCUACGGUGAAUACGUUCCCGGGUCU
rnacentral:rRNA from 1 species